CAGAGUAGAAUCAGCGCGUUAAGUGUCUGCAGAUGGGAGGUUGCUGCAGAACGAAAAGGCAAACUGCCUUGCGGUGCUGGUUCGCUUCCGCUA
rnacentral:ncRNA from 1 species